UGGGGAAGUAUUGGACAAUGGGGGGAACCCUGAUCCAGCGACGCCGCGUGAGUGAAGAAGUAUUUCGGUAUGUAAAGCUCUAUCAGCAGGGAAGAAAGAAAUGACGGUACCUGACUAAGAAGCCCCGGCUAACUACGUGCC
rnacentral:rRNA from 1 species